GGAUUCACAACGGCGAUCGUGAGUUAUCAUCAAGUGACUGGGGUUCAAAUGGAGAUCGGCGUUCAUGAUUUAGCAAACAGGAGUGUUAUGAAGUUGUCGGGGUUCAAAUGCGGUGAUCAGGGAUCAUACGCGCGAAAAUAAUUGUUCGGGGUCCAAGAAAAAGUAAAAAAAAUCAAUCAAAGAAGUACCAGGUUCAAGAGAAAAAAAAUCAAAAAGUUUCGGGGUUCAAGAAAAGCAAAAAAUAUAAUAAUCCCCAGCGAAGCG
rnacentral:lncRNA from 1 species